CAUGAAAUGAAUCAACAGUGUAAGCUUAUAAUAUUCCGUUAAUAUUCUGCAGUUGGUAUCAUAUUUUUGUGUUUGUCUGAAACAGCAGCCCGUCGCGAAGUGAGUUGAGUAAGUAUUGUCACUUGUGAUGGAAAUGUACAGGGUCAUACAUAUGUUUGUACUUAGGAUAUUUUUACUGGAUGUUGACAAAGUUCAUGCGUGUUUUUGUCCAAUAUCUCACCCACAAACAGAUUAUUGCCAUCUGAGUAGCUUUGCUCUCGUCGGGUCCGUCAGUGACUUCGUUGACAGUAAUUAUGACAGGAGAUUCAAUGUAAUAGUCCAAUUCAUGUUGAAGGUCCCAGAAGGUUAUACACACAGAAAACGCCUUAAACUGAAGACUUAUAAGGGACCUAUUCUGUGCGAGCUAAACUUAUUGCCAGGAAUUCGCUAUCUGAUAACAGGAUAUGUGAACAGUGACGACGAGUACCUAGUAAAUUCCUGUAUGUGGGCAGAAGACUGAACACGCUGACAUCAAGCGAAUACAACGGUCUCCUUGGGGACUACGACUGCAGCUGCUAUAUCAACGAGGCCUGGGGAUUAAUUCCACCAUAUGCCACACCCCGUGACGUUUGUAACUAUGACAAAACAACUUCGUGUGAGCAGGCAGCAUGCCUAAGAGGGGAACAGGGCACGUGUGAAUGGCUACUGAAGUGUUGAGUCAAACAUAGAAAGCCAUUCCCGAUUUUUUUCACAGAUGUGAAAAGAAAACAAAGGACUGGAUGACAUGUACAGGGUUAAAAAAACACCUGAUAUAUGAUAACAUUCCAAUCUUAAUAAACUAAUCUCUUUUUGGUUGCC
rnacentral:misc_RNA from 1 species